rnacentral:rRNA from 1 species
UGGCGACCGGCGCACGGGUGAGUAACACGUAUCCAACCUGCCGUCUACUCUUGGACAGCCUUCUGAAAGGAAGAUUAAUACAAGAUGGCAUCAUGAGUCCGCAUGUUCACAUGAUUAAAGGUAUUCCGGUAGACGAUGGGGAUGCGUUCCAUUAGAUAGUAGGCGGGGUAACGGCCCACCUAGUCUUCGAUGGAUAGGGGUUCUGAGAGGAAGGUCCCCCACAUUGGAACUGAGACACGGUCCAAACUCC